CGACCGGCGCGACGGUGAGUAACGCGUAUGCAACUUGCCUAUCAGAGGGGGAUAACCCGGCGAAAGUCGGACUAAUACCGCAUGAAGCAGGGGCCCCGCAUGGGGAUAUUUGCUAAAGAUUCAUCGCUGAUAGAUAGGCAUGCGUUCCAUUAGGCAGUUGGCGGGGUAACGGCCCACCAAACCGACGAUGGAUAGGGGUUCUGAGAGGAAGGUCCCCCACAUUGGUACUGAGACACGGACCAAACUCCUACGGGAGGCAGCAG
rnacentral:rRNA from 1 species